GGGGAUCUAGUUUAUACAGAUUACUGGGAUGGAUCUGUGAACAUAGUGAAGAAUACACAGAUACAGACAGUGAUCAGACUACAGGGGUGGAAACCUCUCAAUGUCUGAAGUGCCUCCUCUGGUGACCUCCUGCAUGGUUGUCAUGGACAGUGAUGAUUAUGAACAAACCAAAGUUGUGCGUUACUCUGGCACCACAGAGAUACAAAGUAUUCAGUACGAUGACGAAGGAAAUCCCCUAUAUUCAUCUGGAGACAUUAGUGAAAACAGAAACUUAGAUAUCUGCGUGGCAGACAAUAGAACUGGUGUGGUAGUAGUGGUCAAUCAGGCCGGGGAACUCCGGUUUUCCUACACUGGUCUUCCCUCUUCUUCUGAGGAACCAUUUGAUCCCCGCCGCAUCACAACAGACAGCCAAGGUCGGAUCCUGAUAGCAGACUGUACCAACCACUGUAUCCACAUCCUGGAUCAGGACGGACAAUUCCUCCGCUACAUUGGCAACUGUGAUUUACAGUAUCCAUCGGGAUUAUGUGUGGACAGCAGAGACAACCUCUUUGUGGCAGAGUACAGCACGGGUAAAGUGAAGAAAAUCCAAUAUAACGUAUAAACAAACUUUAAGUAUAAAAAUGUAAACAUAAAAGCACAAUGAGUUUUUGUAAAAAACAACCUUAAAGUUGACUUGUACAUCUAUAUAAUUAUUUUAGAAUAGUAUGUUUAUGUACACAUGUCUACAAUAUGUAAAAGCUAUACCUGUGGGGUAAAUAUGUAAACAACAAGUGUAUGUAUUACUGUAAACCUACUUUUAUUUGUCGCGUGCGAGAAAUUGUCACAAGAUUCGUGAGAACCUUGUCGUUGCGAAUAUUUCUCGCCACGAACUGGCCCUUGUCGCAUAAUUGUUAUAACAACUCAGGUCUAAAUAAGGCUUGUUCGCAAACAUAAGUCGUCGCGAACGAGCUCGAGUUCAUCGGAAGUACAUCGCAAAAUGAAAUCGUUGCGAAUACCAGUUGGUUUACAGUAUAUUCAAAUAGACUUUGCAUAUUAACUUUAAAAAUAAUUUUUAUAUACUGCGGUUUUAUACAUUUUCGUUGAAGACCAAUUCUAACGAUUUAUCCAUUAUCACAAACCUCAAAGAUAAGAAAAAGGAUAUACUAACCAAAGAAUUGUCGUGAAUUGUUGUUACUAAAAGGAACCAAAGAUUUACAUACGGACGUUGGAUCCUGCGAUCAAAAGUCUUGAAGUUUUUUCUAAAGUAUUUUUUAAACAUCUACACACAUAGCUAAACCAAAAUUAAAAACAGAAAUGUUGGGUCUAUAUGUUCCUUUUGGUGCUACGAUGUAUUUAAUAUCAGCUUUCUGCUCUGAAAGUGCAAAUUGCUCAUAAUAUAUCUAAAUCGCUUUUCCCUCUAUAAUUUUUUAUCGAAAUGAACCAUGGUAUCAUAUACAAAUUUACAUUGUUUAGAAUUAAUAAAAUUAAAAUUAGCAUAAAACUUAAAAAAGAAAGACUAAUUAGCUUUUUCAUAUUUAGUAAAGAUGGCAAUUUUUUGAAGGCGACUUCUAAAUCAUUUGUCAAAACUUUGUUAAAACAUGUUUUGGAAAGAUGUUUGUCAGGUUUUUUUUACUAAUAAAAUGUUCUAAAUGUUAACAAUCU
rnacentral:sRNA from 1 species